rnacentral:rRNA from 1 species
GACGAACGCUGGCGGCGUGCUUAACACAUGCAAGUCGAACGGAAAGGCCCUGCUUUUGUGGGGUGCUCGAGUGGCGAACGGGUGAGUAACACGUGAGUAACCUGCCCUUGACUUUGGGAUAACUUCAGGAAACUGGGGCUAAUACCGGAUAGGAGCUCCUGCUGCAUGGUGGGGGUAGGAAAGUUUCGGCGGGUGGGGAUGGACUCGCGGCUUAUCAGCUUGUUGGUGGGGGAGUGGCUUACCAAGGCUUUGACGGGUAGCCGGCCUGAGAGGGUGACCGGCCACAUUGGGACUGAGAUACGGCCCAGACUCCUACGGGAGGCAGCAGUGGGGAAUAUUGCACAAUGGGCGGAAGCCUGAUGCAGCAACGCCGCGUGCGGGAUGACGGCCUUCGGGUUGUAAACCGCUUUCGCCUGUGACGAAGCGUGAGUGACGGUAAUGUGUAAAGAAGCACCGGCUAACUACGUG